ACCUGCCUUGAGUUCCUGACUCCCUUUCCUCUUCAAGUACUCUCAGUCAGUGUUUUAUCACAGCAGUAAAAAUCAAACUAAGAUCUCUACCAAGUCGCUGCCUGUGCCUACAGAAGAGACUGAGAACCCAAUCUGUGACCCUCCUGUGUUGGAAGAAGAGUACUUUCUUGUAGGAAUGUCAUGGCUUGUUCUCAGGCUGGAGGUCAGAACCGAGAUGGAUUCCAAAGAAGAACAGGCUGACUUAUCAUCUGUUGCCUGGCUUUUGUCACCAUUGUGGCACAGUUGACGUCAAUGUUUUACAUGGAGCUACAUCUACAGCUGUUCUGCUAUUUGUGUUUUAGGCAGUGCCUCGGUUUCCAAAACAGAUGUCCACAUCUGAGAGUAUAGUCGGGAUAAGAACAUGAGACCCUUACAGUCAAGUUAGAACUUGGAUCCUACCUAAGCCUCAUCUGUGGGUUUUGCAAAUCUGUAAAGACGGGAUAUAAAAUAAUUGCUCACACCAACAUUAGACAAAAUAGUCUCAGGUUCCUGGGUCCCUCGAAUGAACUAGUUAAUCUCAUCCAUGCCUAUGGACAAGAUGUGUGAUAGUGUCUAUUUUUAAAAUAAAAAUAUUUAUUUUUAUGUUUUUAACUAUAUAUGUGGUGGGGAUGUGCACAUGAGUGCAAUUGCCUUCAAUAGCCAGAAGGGGGCAGUGGAUCUCCUGGAGCCAGAGUGACAGGCGGUUGUUCGGUGCUUGAUGUGGGCGCUGGAAACUGAACUGGAGUCCUCUGCAAGAGCAACGCUCAGUCUUGAUCUCUGGCUGAGACAUCUCAGCAGUCUCCUGAGCAAGUCUGCUUUCUUUACACUCACUCUUCAGCUGGAGCAUGUGGCCUCUGCAUGGCACAGCAACCAAGUGUAGAAUGACUGUUUAUUGACAUCGACUGACAAACCCAGAGAGAUCAGUUUGAUUGUCUUGUAACCUACCAACCACACAUAUCUGCGUAAUGGGUUGGUUCUACUUCGUGAGCUGAGACUGCGCUCUCGUUGACUAUUAAGAAGUGCAAAGGAUGUUCACAAUCUGGUUUCGUUUGCCCAACAAUGUAGAAGACCAGGCAUAGAUAAGAUGUCAGCCAGGAAGCUGGGGAAGAGAAGAAAAACAGAAAGUAUUAGUUCCAUUUCCUGCCACCCUGAGCUCAGUACAAAAGCCACUUUAAACAACUGAUGAUCAUUUUUAUUGCACCGCCCAUUGCUUUUGAAAGUUCUGGCUGCGCACUAAUGAGUUUUCCUCCCACAAAUUUAAUUUGCAUCUCCAGUAAGUACCAAGAGCAGCAGUUUUUCUAUGGACUUUAAGUAGAUGACUUCCUUUGUGCUUAUGAUUUAUGCUACAAGUAAUUUUCUCUUUUAAUAGGGAAAAUUUUAAUGACUUAAAAUUUAAAAUUAAUUAUUAAUAUGUGAAAGCUACUUUUUAAUGAGAAACCCGCUGCAUAGUUUUCUCUUUACAUUUGUUGGUCUUUAACCAUUUGUUUCAUAAUUUUUAUUUUCCCUUUUGCAUAUUUUUGUUUAUGUAAUAUAAAGAGUCUAUGGAAGCCUGAAAAAAAUACUAUUUGCUCUAAACAAUGAAAGUAUGUAAUUGGUUAUAUCUAUAUCAUUUUAUUAAUAUUUCUCUUUAAAUUACCUAUGUGCUCUGUCAUCAGUCUAAUUAAAGUUUAAAAAUU
rnacentral:lncRNA from 1 species